rnacentral:snRNA from 1 species
AUUGAAGCUUCGAAAUUAUUACUCCCUCCGUACGCUGUUGAUGACUAUUUAUCUUAUUUAAAAAUAUUUUCUAUUUAAAUAUUUUUUAAAUAUGAAAAUAUUUAUGUUAUGUUUAAAGAAUAUUUGAUGAUAAAUUAAGUCA